rnacentral:rRNA from 1 species
AGUGAACGCUGGCGGUAGGCCUAACACAUGCAAGUCGAACGGCAGCACAGUAAGAGCUUGCUCUUACGGGUGGGGAGUGGCGGACGGGUGAGGAAUACAUCGGAAUCUACUUUUUCGUGGGGGAUAACGUAGGGAAACUUACGCUAAUACCGCAUACGACCUACGGGUGAAAGCAGGGGAUCUUCGGACCUUGCGCGAUUGAAUGAGCCGAUGUCGGAUUAGCUAGUUGGCGGGGUAAAGGCCCACCAAGGCGACGAUCCGUAGCUGGUCUGAGAGGAUGAUCAGCCACACUGGAACUGGGACACGGUCCAGACUCCUACGGGAGGCAGCAGUGGGGAAUAUUGGACAAUGGGCGCAAGCCUGAUCCAGCCAUACCGCGUGGGUGAAGAAGGCCUUCGGGUUGUAAAGCCCUUUUGUUGGGAAAGAAAAGCAGCAGGUUAAUACCCCGCUGUUCUGACGGUACCCAAAGAAUAAGCACCGGCUAACUUCGUG